AGGAACCUUAUAGUUUCAUCUUGUUCUUGAACCAAACCCUAGCCGCUGCCACCUUUGGUUUUUCGUCCACCUCCGCUGCAUGCCGUCAUCUCCCUCCCUUUGAUUGAUAGCCACCACGAAACGUCAUCCAUUCAAGUUGUUGUUGAAGUUGAGCCGUUGAAAGCCUCCGUUGUGCAUCGUCGCUCACCGCUGCGUUGUUCCGUCGUCGUUUUCCUCUAUCAAUGUUGUCGGUCGCAUCUCCUCUACAGUCGUCGAUCGACGGCCAAGUCUCCAAUCGAGCCAUUCUUCGCAAGUCAAAAUGCCAAGCCGAUCUCCUCCUUCGUUCGAACUGGGUGCAUGUAAGCGAGUCGUCCUCUCCCCUUCAGUCGCGUCCAAGCUGAGCCUCCCUUCGUUCCUUGCAAGCUGUCUUCGUAUUCGAGCCACAUGCGAAGCACUCUAAGCCGCAUGCCCAAGUCGAGUUCCCCCAUCUUGCAAGCUGCGAGCCUAGCUGUUUUCUCUACCUUGAGUCUUUUCCCUUUAGUCGAGCCACCAAAGCCGUUUUUGCCCUUUUUUCACCUAUUUUGGAAUAUUUUUGGUUGGGCUAGAUAAAAUUGGGGGGAUGCUGUAGAAUUUUUCCAAACCAAGGAUAAAUUGGAUUCAACCUCAACUUUAGGCAAAGGUAGAGGUAGGGUAGAAGAAAGCUCGCGAAUGACAAGAAGUGACCAUGAGUUAUCAUAGGAAAACUUUUUGCUUCAGCUUUUGCUUUACAGUUACGAUUUCAGUAUUUUUUUAUUCUUUGAUUAUUUCUCUUUUAAAACUAGAUAGGGCCCAAGCUAGAAUUUUAUUUUUAGAAAUUUGUUUCUACAUACUUUUAUUUAUUUAAAAUGUUAAUGAGCAUUUGAGGUUUUCGGUGAAAGUUAGUGUUAUUUUCUCAUUUUGUUAAGAAAAUUUUUAUUUCUUUUAAUAGUAAUGACCUGAGCUUAGUAUAAAGAUGUAACGACCCAACAUUUCCGGACUAAGCUGAGGUCACUACCAAUUACCAAAACUCGACCAUUCAAAAUAAAAUUUAAAACAGACUAGAUACGAUUCAUUAAAACAUUAUAAACCUUACAAAAGACAGUUUCGGGCCCUAUUUUUAAUAAUUCAAAAAGUCACAAAAUAAAAUGUCAAGUCACCAGUCCAAAAAUCACAAUCAAAACAUUCUGACAAAAUACAUAGCGGAAGCGAAAGAAAAACGGACGCGUCCAUAUGGCCUUCACGCAUCCUUCCUGCCUCUCGUCGGUCUGCCCCUCGCUGUAACCCUACCUGAAAGUUAAAGAAGAGAAAGGGUGAGUAUAAACAUACCCAGUAAGGGACCCACUACUGGGCCCGUUAGGGAACAACAGUUAACUUCCUAUUCGGGGGUGCCCUACAUAACAGUCUAGUGGUUCCGUAGAACGCACAUAUCAGUCUAGUGCUCCCGAAGGAUACACUUAUCAGUCUAGUGCUCCCGAAGGAUACACUUAUCAGUCUAGUGCUCCCGAAGGAUGCACAUAUCAGUCUAGUGCUCCCGAAGGAUACACUUAUCAGUCUAGUGCUCCCGAAGGAUGCACAUAUCAGUCUAGUGCUCCCGAAGGAUACACAUAUCAGUCUAGUGCUCCCGAAGGAUACACAUAUCAGUCAGGCACACUACCCCAUAGAUGAAGCUAACCGUUACCCCUCAGCCCUUACUAAACUGUCUACAUCAAUCACAUCUCAACGGCAUUCAUAUUACAGUCCCGCCAUAGGCCUUGUCAGUCAGAUAGUAUAGGUUUAACAUCUACACCCUCAGUUGCUUUAUGCAUUACCGAUUCGCACACCAAUGGGGAAAACCCUAGGUCCAAUCGACUAACCAACCAAAACCGGACUCACUGUCCUUCCCCGUCCAAACUCCAUGAACCACAUCCAGAACAGUAUUUAAUACAUACUAAACCGUAACUUUAAGGUCCAUCAACAUAUAAUUUCAAUCCUCAAUAGCAGUCACAGUAUAAUCUCAUCAGACAAAAAUAUAAUAUCAGUACUUAACAGUCAACACGCAUACAGAUAUUCAGCACAGUCACUAACGUGUAAUCCCCUGUGAAUUACUACGGUUUUAACCUGGACUCGGGGUCCAGUAGUAGGAAAACCCUUACCUGAAACUCGGUUAUGCCCCUCGAUCGAAAAUCCACGCUCGACAGAUCUACCUAACGAAACACGAAAGUUUAGUUGAUGACUUUAGUAGCAGUUGUUUUUUAAAAGAUCAGAAGCGAUGUCCGUUGACUUACCCAAGGAAAGGAAGCUAUCUCCAACCAGGCCUGCCGCGGAACCCGAGAACUUAAGCGUCAACUCUGUACUACCUUCGAGGGAGAAAAGUAGGGCCAUAACUUAAUUCAACAUUCAAACUCGAACCGGACGAGGUAACGCUAGGGAAUUCAUCAGAACAAUUCUUACCGAAAACUCACCGUGAACCGAAAUGAAGGAAGGAAGG